AGGAUGAACGCUAGCGGCAGGCUUAAUACAUGCAAGUCGUGGGGCAGCAUGGGGUAGCAAUACCCUGAUGGCGACCGGCAAACGGGUGCGGAACACGUACGCAACCUUCCUUUAACUGGAGAAUAGCCCCUCGAAAGAGGGAUUAAUACUCCGUAACAUGAUGAUAAGGCAUCUUAUUAUUAUUAUAGCUCCGGCGGUUAGAGAUGGGCGUGCGCCUGAUUAGGUAGUUGGCGGGGUAACGGCCCACCAAGCCUGCGAUCAGUAACUGGUGUGAGAGCACGACCAGUCACACGGGCACUGAGACACGGGCCCGACUCCUACGGGAGGCAGCAGUAAGGAAUAUUGGUCAAUGGACGCAAGUCUGAACCAGCCAUGCCGCGUGGAGGAUUAAGGCCCUCUGGGUUGUAAACUCCUUUUAUCUGGGAAGAAUCCAUAUAUUCUUAUGUGGUUGACGGUACCAGAGGAUAAGCACCGGCUAACUCCGUGCCAGCAGCCGUA
rnacentral:rRNA from 1 species